AUAGGAGAAAGACCACCAGGGAUUGCCCUAGUAACGGCGAGUGAAGCGGCAACAGCUCAAAUUUGAAAUCUGGCCCGUCCCCGGGUCCGAGUUGUAAUUUGGAGAGGAUGCUUCGGGCAAGGCUGCGGUCCAAGUUCCUUGGAACAGGACGUCAGAGAGGGUGAGAAUCCCGUCUUCAACCGUAAGCCGCGUCCAUGUGAAGCUCCUUCGACGAGUCGGGUUGUUUGGGAAUGCAGCUCAAAAUGGGUGGUAAAUUUCAUCUAAAGCUAAAUACCGGCCAGAGACCGAUAGCGCACAAGUAGAGUGAUCGAAAGAUGAAAAGCACUUUGAAAAGAGAGUUAAACAGCAUGUGAAAUUGUUGAAAGGGAAGCGCUUGCAGCCAGACUUGUGGGCGGUGAUUCAGCCGUUCUUCUGAACGGUGCACUUUGCCGUCUCCAGGCCAGCAUCGGUUCGGGCAGCCAGUUAAAGGCUCGGGGAAUGUAUCAAUCCUUCGGGGUUGACUUAUAGCCUCGGGUGCCAUGUGGCUCGCCGGGACCGAGGAACGCGCAUCUGCACGGAUGCUGGCGUAAUGGCUGUCAGCGACCCGUCUUGAAACACGGACCAAGGAGUCUAACAUCUAUGCGAGUGUUCGGGUGCCAAACCCUUGCGCGUAAUGAAAGUGAACGGAGGUAGGAACCCUCACGGGUGCACUAUCGACCGAUCCUGAUGUUCUCGGAUGGAUUUGAGUAAGAGCAUAGCUGUUGGGACCCGAAAGAUGGUGAACUAUGCGUGUAUAGGGUGAAGCCAGAGGAAACUCUGGUGGAGGCUCGCAGCGGUUCUGACGUGCAAAUCGAUCGUCAAAUACGCGUAUAGGGGCGAAAGACUAAUCGAACCAUU
rnacentral:rRNA from 1 species